rnacentral:rRNA from 1 species
CUACGGGUCGCUGCAGUAGGGAAUAUUGCACAAUGGGCGAAAGCCUGAUGCAGCAACGCCGCGUGCGCGAUGAAGGCCUUCGGGUUGUAAAGCGCUUUUCUGAGGGAAGAGGAAGGACUGUACCUCAGGAAUAAGUCUCGGCUAACUACGUGCCAGCAGCCGCGGUAACACGUAGGAGGCAAGCGUUAUCCGGAUUUACUGGGCGUAAAGCGCGUGUAGGCGGUUUGGCAAGUCGGAUGUGAAAGCUCCUGGCUCAACUGGGAGAGGUCGUUCGAAACUGCCAGACUAGAGGACGGUAGAGGGAGAUGGAAUUCCCGGUGUAGUAGUGAAAUGCGUAGAUAUCGGGAGGAACACCAGUGGCGAAGGCGGUCUUCUGGGCCGUUCCUGACGCUGAGACGCGAAAGCAUGGGUAGCGAACGGGAUUAGAUACCCGCGUAGUC